UGCUUUGAGACAAAUAUGCUGAAAAGAAGUUUUAGCAACAGACAGCGCGCGUUAGCAGCAGCAACCGCGGAGGCAGCCCCAGCCCCGCCGUCCUGCGCUGGUGCAGCCGCCCUUGCUCCCUGUGCUCUUCCUCCCUUCGCUCGCACCAUGGCUGAUCAGCUGACUGAAGAACAGAUUGCUGAAUUCAAGGAAGCUUUCUCCCUAUUCGACAAAGAUGGUGACGGCACCAUCACAACAAAGGAACUUGGAACUGUCAUGAGGUCACUGGGUCAGAACCCGACAGAAGCCGAAUUGCAGGAUAUGAUCAACAAAGUGGAUGCUGAUGGUAACGGCACCAUUGACUUCGCAGAAUUUUUUACUAUGAUGGCUAGAAAAAUGAAAGAUACAGAUAGCGAAGAAGAAAUCCGUGAGGCAUUCCGAGUCUUUGACAAGGACGGCAAUGGUUACAUCAGCGCAGCAGAACUAGGUCACGUCAUGACAAACUUAGGAGAAAAACUAACAGAUGAAGAAGUAGAUGAAAUGAUCAGAGAAGCAGAUAUUGAUGGAGACGGACAAGUCAACUAUGAAGAAUUCGUACAGAUGAUGACUGCAAAAUGAAGACCUACUUUCAACUCCUUUUUCCCCCCUCUAGAAGAAUCAAAUUGAAUCUUUUACUUACCUCUUGCAAAAAAAGAAAAAAGUUCAUUUAUUCAUUCUGUUUCUAUAUAGCAAAACUGAAUGUCAAAAGUACCUUCUGUCCACACACACAAAAUCUGCAUGUAUUGGUUGGUGGUCCUGUCCCCUAAAGAUCAAGCUACACAUCAGUUUUACAAUAUAAAUACUUGUACUACCUUAAUGAUAAGGACUCCUUAAAAUUCCAUUUGCUAAUGAUUAAUACACUGUUUGGGCUGGCCAGUUUUUCAUGCAUGCAGCUUGACGAUUGAGCACAGUCAGGCAUUUGUAUUAAAAAUGAAAAAUGAAAAAACAAAUUCAAAACCUA